rnacentral:pre_miRNA from 1 species
GAAAUACUCCCUCCGUUCCAAAAUUCUUGUCUUAGAUUUGUUUAGAUAUGAAUGUAUCUAGUCAAGUUUUAGUAUUUAGAUACAUUCAUUUUUAGAGAAAGUUAAGACAAGAAUUUUGGGACAGAGGGACUAAUAA